AGCAGUAGCCGCGGUAAUACGAACCGUGCGAACGUUAUUCGGAACUACUGGGCUUAAAGCGCGUGUAGGCGGGCCGCCACGUCGGUUGCUGAAAUCCCCCGGCUCAACCGGGGAAGUGGCAUCGAUACGAGCGGCCUUGAGGGGGGUAGGGGGAUCUGGAACUUCCGGUGGAGCGGUGAAAUGCGUUGAGAUCGGAAGGAACGCCCGUGGCGAAAGCGAGGUCCUGGACCCUUUCUGACGCUGAGACGCGAAAGCCAGGGGAGCGAACGGGAUUAGAUACCCGCGUAGUCCCUGUCUCUUAUU
rnacentral:rRNA from 1 species